rnacentral:rRNA from 1 species
UACGUAGGGGCGAGCGUUACCCGGAUUUACUGGGCGUAAAGCGCGUGUAGGCGGCUGGUCAAGCGUGGUGUGAAAUCUCCGGGCUCAACCCGGAAACUGCCGACUGCGAACUGACCUGGCUGGAGUGCAGGAGAGGGCAGCGGAAUUCCCGGUGUAGCGGUGAAAUGCGUAGAUAUCGGGAAGAACACCAGUGGCGAAGGCGGCUGCCUGGCCUGUAACUGACGCUGGAGACGCGAAAGCGUGGGGAGCGAACCGG